rnacentral:rRNA from 1 species
AACGAACGCUGGCGGCAUGCCUAACACAUGCAAGUCGAACGAGACCUUCGGGUCUAGUGGCGCACGGGUGCGUAACGCGUGGGAACCUGCCCUUAGGUUCGGAAUAACUCCCCGAAAGGGGUGCUAAUACCGGAUAAUGUCUUCGGACCAAAGAUUUAUCGCCUUUGGAUGGGCCCGCGUUGGAUUAGCUAGUUGGUAGGGUAAAAGCCUACCAAGGCGACGAUCCAGAGCUGGUCUGAGAGGAUGAUCAGCCACACUGGGACUGAGACACGGCCCAGACUCCUACGGGAGGCAGCAGUGGGGAAUAUUGGACAAUGGGCGAAAGCCUGAUCCAGCAAUGCCGCGUGAGUGAUGAAGGCCUUAGGGUUGCAAAGCUCUUUUACCCGGGAUGAUAAUGACAGUACCGGGAGAAUAAGCGCCGGCUAACUCCGUG